GUGAACGCUGGCGGUAGGCCUAACACAUGCCAGUCGAACGGCAGCACAGUAAGAGCUUGCUCUUACGGGUGGCGAGUGGCGGACGGGUGAGGAAUACAUCGGAAUCUACUUUUUCGUGGGGGAUAACGUAGGGAAACUUACGCUAAUACCGCAUACGACCUACGGGUGAAAGCAGGGGAUCUUCGGACCUUGCGCGAUUGAAUGAGCCGAUGUCGGAUUAGCUAGUUGGCGGGGUAAAGGCCCACCAAGGCGACGAUCCGUAGCUGGUCUGAGAGGAUGAUCAGCCACAGGGGAACUGAGACGCGGUCCAGACCCCGAGGGGAGGGAGCAGUGGGGAAUAUUGGACAAGGGGCGCAAGCCUGACCCAGCCAUACCGGGGGGGUGAAGAAGGCCUUCGGGUUGAAAAGCCCUUUUGUGGGGAAAGAAAAGCAGCAGGUUAAUACCCCGCUGUUCUGACGGUACCAAAAGAAUAAGCACCGGCUAACUUCGUG
rnacentral:rRNA from 1 species